UACAGAGGGUGCGAGCGUUAAUCGGAAUUACUGGGCGUAAAGGGCGCGUAGGUGGCCAAUCAAGUGCAUUGUGAAAUCCCCGGGCUUAACCUGGGAAAGUCAAUGCAAACGGGUUGGCUAGAGUAUGGUAGAGGGUAGUGGAAUUUCCGGUGUAGCGGUGAAAUGCGUAGAGAUCGGAAGGAACAUCAGUGGCGAAGGCGGCCGGCUGGGGGCGCCCUGACGCUGAGGCGCGAGAGCGUGGGGAGCAAACCGG
rnacentral:rRNA from 1 species